rfam:Zea mays cultivar B73 chromosome 4, whole genome shotgun sequence.
CUCCGUCAUUUUUUUUGUGAUUGUGUGUCUCGAAACAUGGCAGAAAUCAAAGGUUAACGGUUCUUGCGACACUGGUUGCUCACUUAUGAGCUUCGAGUUACUAUAUGCCCGUGUACAUGU